CCUACGGGAGGCAGCAGUGAGGAAUAUUGGUCACUGGGCGCGAGCCUGAACCAGCCUAGUCGCGUGAGGGAAGACGGUCCUAUGGAUUGUCCACCUCUUUUGUCGGGGAGCAAAAGACGCCACGUGUGGCGUUCCGAGAGUACCCGAAGAAAAAGCAUCGGCUAACUCCGUUCCAGCAGCCGCGGUAAUACGGAGGAUGCGAGCGUUAUCCGGAUUUAUUGGUUUUAAAGGGUGCGCAGGCGGACGAUCAAGUCAGCGGUAAAAUUGAGAGGCAAAACCUCUUCGAGCCGUGGAAACUGGUUGUCUUGAGUGAGCGAGAAGUAUGCGGAAUGCGUGGUGUAGCGGUGAAAUGCAUAGAUAUCACGCAGAACUCCGAUUGCGAAGGCAGCAUACCGGCGCUCAACUGACGCUGAUGCACGAAAGUGUGGGGAUCGAACAGGAUUAGAUACCCCAGUAGUC
rnacentral:rRNA from 1 species